GGAGUCGGACGGGUCGUCGCUUUGGGCGCUUGCGCCCCGAGAGGAAAGUCCGGGCUCCGCAGGGCAGGACGCUGGGUAACGCCCAGGGGGAGUGAUCCCCGGACAGUGCCACAGAAAACAGACCGCCUGGGCGGCACACUGCCGCGCAGGUAAGGGUGAAACGGUGGGGUAAGAGCCCACCAGUUGUCGUGGCGACACGGCAAGCUUGGUAAACCCCGUCCGGAGCAAGACCAAAUAGGGGGGCGUUCGAGGUCGGCCCGGCCGAAGCCCCCGGGUAGGUUGCUAGAGACCCGGAGUAAUCCGGGCCCCAGAGGAAUGGCGGCCACCCGCCCUUGCGGCGGGUACAGAACCCGGCUUACAGUCCGGCUCCCAUC
rnacentral:RNase_P_RNA from 1 species